GGUGGAGCAUGUGGUUUAAUUCGAAGCUACGCGAAGAACCUUACCAGGUCUUGACAUCUUCUGACAGUCUAAGAGAUUAGAGGUUCCCUUCGGGGACAGAAUGACAGGUGGUGCAUGGUUGUCGUCAGCUCGUGUCGUGAGAUGUUGGGUUAAGUCCCGCAACGAGCGCAACCCUUAUUACUAGUUGCCAGCAUUAAGUUGGGCACUCUAGUGAGACUGCCGGUGACAAACCGGAGGAAGGUGGGGACGACGUCAAAUCAUCAUGCCCCUUAUGACCUGGGCUACACACGUGCUACAAUGGAUGGUACAACGAGUCGCGAGACCGCGAGGUUAAGCUAAUCUCUUAAAACCAUUCUCAGUUCGGACUGUAGGCUGCAACUCGCCUACACGAAGUCGGAAUCGCUAGUAAUCGCGGAUCAGCAUGCCGCGGUGAAUACGUUCCCGGGCCUUGUACACACCGCCCGUCACACCAUGAGAGUUUGUAACACCCAAAGCCGGUGGGGUAACCUUUUUAGGAGCUAGCCGUCUAAGGUGGGACAGAUGAUUAGGGGAAGUC
rnacentral:rRNA from 1 species